rnacentral:RNase_P_RNA from 1 species
UUAGCAAGAGGAAAGUCCGGGCUCCAUAGAGCAAAAGGGUAGCUAACGGCUACUAAAGGAAACUUUAAGGAAAGUGCCACAGAAAAUAGACCGCUACUUUAUGUAGUAAGGGUGAAAAGGUGGUGUAAGAGACCACCAGUUCUUUAGGAGACUAAAGAAGCUAGGUAAACCCCCUUUGGAGCAAGACUAAAUAGGAGAGAAAUAGGGGUUGCUCGUCCUCUCUCAGGGUAAGUUGCUUGAAGCUAUAAGCAAUUAUAGCUCUAGAUAAAUGAUUGACAAAUACAAAACCCGGCUUACUUAAU